rnacentral:rRNA from 1 species
UACGAAGGGGCUAGCGUUGCUCGGAAUUACUGGGCGUAAAGCGCACGUAGGCGGAUCAUUAAGUCGGGGGUGAAAUCCUGGAGCUCAACUCCAGAAUUGCCUUCGAUACUGGCGAUCUUGAGUCCGGGAGAGGUGAGUGGAACUCCGAGUGUAGAGGUGAAAUUCGUAGAUAUUCGGAAGAACACCAGUGGCGAAGGCGGCUCACUGGCCCGGGUACUGACGCUGAGGUGCGAAAGCCGUGGGGAGCAAACAGG